GCCACCCUCGUCAAUAAUGGCCGGUCUCUUAUUUCAUUUAAAUUUCUAACUAACACAUCAAUAUAUUAAUUACACCAUGUUACAUUUUUUGCAGGAAAGGCUGCUUCACAGUUUACAAACUUUUCAAACUUCCUUGAGUAUUGAGAUCUGUGACCUAAGACGCAGACAAGUACUCACUGAAGAAAAUGUUGAUAGACUUAAACUGGAACAGCUUACAUUGCAUAAUCAAUAUGUAAGCACCAUUCAAGAUGUCAAAAACGAAGUUGCUAAAAUUGCAACCACCAAUGAUGAAAUCCCAUAUGUCUUUCGUGCUCCAAGGAAAAAUCCUUGGUUUGGUGGUCGUUUGUCUGAACUACAAGACUUGGCAAAUCUUCUUCCAUUAGAUGAUACCAGUCAACCUAAAGUAAACAUCGCAGCUGUGUGCGGUUUGGGUGGAGUGGGCAAAACAAGUUUGGCUACCGAGUUUGCACAACAGAGGAAGGAUUUCUAUACUGGAGGUGUUUAUUGGUUUUCUGGUGAAGAUGACACUACGUUUGAAAACAGUGUUUACGAUGUUGCUACGCGCUUCAGUACACAGAGUGACUCGUUCGGACUUACCUUUUCAGCAACAUUGGCAAAGAUAUCUCGGAAUAAAAACCCGUGGUUGAUUGUUCUUGAUAACAUGGAUCAAUUAAGCCUUUCAUCCAAUAUUGUUAAGCUGAUAUCUGGACCUUGGCAACAUGAUGCGUCCGGUCACGUUCUAAUUAUCACGAGACGAAAGCCCACUGGUUUAGCCGACGAUAUCAGAGAUUUCGACGAGGAAUGUUGCCUAAGUCUUCAAUGUUUUGGAAUUGAAGAAGGGAAGAAAUUUCUUUUCCGCAGAAUUAGAAUCGUUCACGACGAAGAAAUGGAUGAAGUUGCUGAGAAAUUAGUUCAACAGCUUGGUGGGUUACCUUUAGCUCUUGAGCAAGCCGGAGCUUAUAUCAAAUCACUGCCUUGUACGAUAUCCCAAUACCUAGAGCAUUAUGAUUCGCAGCGCCUUCGUCUUCUUAAUCGACAAAAGGCAGCGUCUGUUUCAGUGUAUGAUUCGCCUGAAAGACUAGCUGUUCGUACAACAUGGCAUCUUAAUUUCGAGCACAUCAAACAGACUGUUGAUGAUGGAAAGGCUGCCAGUAGAUUUCUCUACGCAUCAGCAUUUUUAAAUCCCAAUGAGAUUCAAAAAGAUAUUAUCAACAUUGGCGAACCACCGAUCGAAGAUGAAGAAUUUAGUGAAUGUGUGAAGACAACUUUGGGGCGUCAACUCGUCUUCAUACUGUUAACAGAUUUUUCACUUUUUAAGGAAACUCUAUUUUCCAGCCUUAGCGUCCACCACCUAGUACAGGAGGUCAUACUGGAAAAUCUUAAUCCAGAAGAGGAACUUCAAUCCAUUAAUGAUGCCAUUCGUAUGUUACAUUAUGCUUUCCAAAAUUGUUCCUCUCCUGACGAACUUCUUUCAAAUGAAGCGGAGGAACGACCGUCUAUUAUUUGUGGCAAUCAGUCGCGUUUUUACAACUGGCAUAAACUAUGUUUACAUACUUACGAUCUGGUAAGACAUUUGAAGAGAAUGUUCAAACAGUCUAACGUCGAUUGCGUGAAGAUAUUUCAACCUGAAACAGCUAGAAUAGUGUACGAAUGUGCUGUUCAUUUGAGUGCUAACUCCAAGCACGAUGAAGCAAAAGAAGUAGUCAAUUUUGCCAUUGGUAUCUUUAAUUUAAGCAAUCAGCAAGUUCCUGCAAGCUCCCUUUUUCCUCACACUAUGCCUCUACCCGAGUUAUUUCGCAGGCAAAUACAGUAUUCAUGCAACACACCAGCAAGUACCAUGAAAGAUGAUUCUAGAGACGGUGUGGAAAUGCCAAUCCCUUCAGUUUCCUCUGAACAGUUGGAAGAAAUGCGAAUGAAAGGAAAUGAUUUGUUUAAAAAUGGGUUUUACAAUGAUGCAUUAAAAAUCUAUUCUGACGUCAUUGACAUAUCAAAGAAUACAGCUUUCUUUGAUGUUAGGUUGUUAAGUAAUCGAGCAUCGGUAUAUCUUAAGCUUGGGCAAUAUGAUGAAGCCUUGCAAGAUGCAGAAGAAUACAUUUUACAAUGCCCAAAAUGUUGGAGAGGUUAUGCGAAAAAGGCACUGGCUCUUGUUGAGUUGAAGAAUAUGCAGGAUGCGUGUGUUGCAGCUUCGAUAGCAUAUUACUACGAGAGGAAUUUAUUCCAUAAUUUUGAACCUUUUAGGAUAAUAUUUGGCUCUUCAAUGGAGAAGCGUCUGUUUGUUUGCCGCGAUACCUUAAGUUUGUCAAAUGCCUUGAGGACGAUAAGAACUUUGAAUCACUG